rnacentral:misc_RNA from 1 species
GAUGAAGAACGCAGCGAAAUGCGAUACGUAAUGUGAAUUGCAGAAUUCAGUGAAUCAUCGAGUCUUUGAACGCACAUUGCGCCCCCUGGUAUUCCGGGGGGCAUGCCUGUCCGAGCGUCAUUGCUGCCCUCAAGCACGGCUUGUGUGUUGGGCUCCGUCCCCCCGGGGACGGGCCCGAAAGGCAGCGGCGGCACCGAGUCCGGUCCUCGAGCGUAUGGGGCUUUGUCACCCGCUCUGUAGGCCCGGCCGGCGCCAGCCGACAACCCAUCAUCCUUUUCAGGUUGACCUCGGAUCAGGUAGGGAUACCCGCUGAACUUAAGCAUAUCAAUAAGCGGAGGA